rnacentral:rRNA from 1 species
GAUGAACGCUGGCGGCGUGCCUAAUACAUGCAAGUCGAGCGAACAGACGAGGAGCUUGCUCCUCUGACGUUAGCGGCGGACGGGUGAGUAACACGUGGAUAACCUACCUAUAAGACUGGGAUAACUUCGGGAAACCGGAGCUAAUACCGGAUAAUAUAUUGAACCGCAUGGUUCAAUAGUGAAAGACGGUUUUGCUGUCACUUAUAGAUGGAUCCGCGCCGCAUUAGCUAGUUGGUAAGGUAACGGCUUACCAAGGCAACUAUGCGUAGCCGACCUGAGAGGGUGAUCGGCCACACUGGAACUGAGACACGGUCAAGACUCCUACGGGAGGCAGCAGUAGGGAAUCUUCCGCAAUGGGCGAAAGCCUGACGGAGCAACGCCGCGUGAGUGAUGAAGGUGUUCGGAUCGUAAAACUCUGUUAUGAGGGAAGAACAAAUGUGUAAGUAACUAUGCACGUCGUGACGGUACCUAAUCAGAAAGCCACGGCUAACUACGCG